rnacentral:rRNA from 1 species
ACGAAUGCGGCUGAAGUGGCUCCCUGUCAGGCUCAGGAGACGUCGGGGCGGUCUCGUCGCGGCGCGGUUGCUUGCCGCGUGGUGUCGGGUGCCUUCCGACCGAUCUGCACUUCUGCGGGGAGCCGGCCAACGGCAGUUGCCCUCGGCCCAUGAGGGCGCCGUGGGAGGUAGCCCUGCGUUCCGCGUGGGGAACUUACAGCCCGGCGUCUGGCGUUCCGGGGUGGCGACUGAGGAGAAGUGCGUCCCUUCGCACGUUGCAGCGCAGGCCGUCUCGGCGGCUGGGUCGCUCGCUUUCGGCGGAAGGCCGCGGGUGUCACUGCUUGCAGUGGCGCGUUGACGGUCCAAACCGGGGGAGAGGUCGAUCGCACCUUGCGCUGUGGUCGUUGGUGUCCGAAUGGCCGCAUCCGA